UACAUGCAAGUCGAACGCGCAGCGAGAGGUGCUUGCACCUUUCAAGCGAGUGGCGAACGGGUGAGUAACACGUGGAUAACCUGCCUCAAGGCUGGGGAUAACAUUUGGAAACAGAUGCUAAUACCGAAUAAAACUUAGUAUCGCAUGAUAUCAAGUUAAAAGGCGCUACGGCGUCACCUAGAGAUGGAUCCGCGGUGCAUUAGUUAGUUGGUGGGGUAAAGGCUUACCAAGACAAUGAUGCAUAGCCGAGUUGAGAGACUGAUCGGCCACAUUGGGACUGAGACACGGCCCAAACUCCUACGGGAGGCUGCAGUAGGGAAUCUUCCACAAUGGGCGCAAGCCUGAUGGAGCAACGCCGCGUGUGUGAUGAAGGCUUUCGGGUCGUAAAGCACUGUUGUAUGGGAAGAAAUGCUAAAAUAGGGAAUGAUUUUAGUUUGACGGUACCAUACCAGAAAGGGACGGCUAAAUACGUGCCAGCAGCCGCGGUAAUACGUAUGUCCCGAGCGUUAUCCGGAUUUAUUGGGCGUAAAGCGAGCGCAGACGGUUGAUUAAGUCUGAUGUGAAAGCCCGGAGCUCAACUCCGGAAUGGCAUUGGAAACUGGUUAACUUGAGUGUUGUAGAGGUAAGUGGAACUCCAUGUGUAGCGGUGGAAUGCGUAGAUAUAUGGAAGAACACCAGUGGCGAAGGCGGCUUACUGGACAACAACUGACGUUGAGGCUCGAAAGUGUGGGUAGCAAACAGGAUUAGAUACCCUGGUAGUCCACACCGUAAACGAUGAAUACUAGGUGUUAGGAGGUUUCCGCCUCUUAGUGCCGAAGCUAACGCAUUAAGUAUUCCGCCUGGGGAGUACGACCGCAAGGUUGAAACUCAAAGGAAUUGACGGGGACCCGCACAAGCGGUGGAGCAUGUGGUUUAAUUCGAAGCAACGCGAGACCUUACCAGGUCUUGACAUCCUUUGAAGCUUUUAGAGAUAGAAGUGUUC
rnacentral:rRNA from 1 species